rnacentral:rRNA from 1 species
CCUACGGGGCGCAGCAGUGAGGAAUAUUGGUCAAUGGCCGGGAGGCUGAACCAGCCAAGUCGCGUGAUGGAAGACGGCCCUACGGGUUGUAAACCUCUUUUGUCAGGGAGCAAGGUGCAGGUCGGGACCUUCUGUGAGAGUACCUGAAGAAAAAUCAUCGGCUAACUCCGUGCCAGCAGCCGCGUUAAUCCGGAGGAUGCGAGCGUUAUCCGUAUUUAUUGGUUUUAAAGGGUGCGCAGGCUGAGGCACAAGUCAGCGGUAAAAUCGCGGGGCUCAACCCCGCUCCGCCGUUGAAACUGUGUCCCUUGAGUGCGCGAAGGGUAGGUGGAAUGCGUGGUGUAGCGGUGAAAUGCAUAGAUAUAACGCAGAACUCCGAUCGCGAAGGCAGCCUACCGGCGCGCAACUGACGCUCAUGCACGAAAGCGUGGGUAUCGAACAGGAUUAGAUACCCUUGUAGUC